GUAAAUCGAGGAACAAAAAGGAUGCUGUUCUUGGGUCAGUGAUGACAGUGAGACUUGACUCGACUUCAUGAUUAACCUAGCACCUCCAACUGAUGUCCUUUAAGUCAGUCUGGACCCUUUGUCCUUCUGAACGUUGCUCCACAGAAUGAAGGUCACGGCUGAUUGCAUCCGUCUGUUCUGAGGAAGAUCUUGGCUGUUACCUUUCUGGAAUGGAUGUGCAAUGAUUCAAUUAAAGACUAUAGAACUUACUGAAGUAAUGAUUUAGUAAAGACACAGCCAUGAUUGGAGAUGAUGAAGGCCAGCCCUGGACCAAUGAUGAUGACUGGUGGAGUAUGAGUCAUGAACGAUGAAUACUUGUCUGGAACUCUGAGGUCCAGCCCGAUAAGCCACCUGGUCUGCAACAUCUCUGAGAAGUUAUUCUACGGAGUGGGUGCUCCAGGUCAAUGUAAGCAUCUUCAAGAGUCCUGCUCUCUCUGGCCGCCUCAACGUGUCCGGAACAUGGAGACUGAUAAUGGACACACUCAGGCUGAUUUAAGCAUGAGCCUUGGUCUACAGUCUAUGAAUUAGCCUGCACGUGAAAACCAAUGUGAGUAAAAUAUUUUAAAAAAUAUUCAGCAUGGGAGUUCCCAGGUGGCACAGCAGAUUAAGGAUCUGGCAUUGUCAUUGCUGUGGCACACAUUUGAUCCUUGGCCAGGAACUCCAAGCAUGGCCAAAAAAUAAAAAAUAAAAUAAAUAUAAGGAAAAAUACUAG
rnacentral:lncRNA from 1 species